GUUGAACGCUGGCGGCAUGCCUUACACAUGCAUGUCGAACGGCAGCAUGGGUGCUUGCACCUGAUGGCGAGUGGCAACGGGUGAGUAAUGCAUCGGAACGUACCCGGAAGUGGGGGAUAACGUAGCGAAAGUUACGCUAAUACCGCAUAUUCUGUGAACAGGAAAGCAGGGGACCUUCGGGCCUUGCGCUUUCGGAGCGGCCGGUGUCGGAUUAGCUAGUUGGUGGGGUAAAGGCCUACCAAGGCAACGAUCCGUAGCGGGUCUGAGAGGAUGAUCCGCCACACUGGGACUGAGACACGGCCCAGACUCCUACGGGAGGCAGCAGUGGGGAAUUUUGGACAAUGGGGGCAACCCUGAUCCAGCCAUGCCGCGUGAGUGAAGAAGGCCUUCGGGUUGUAAAGCUCUUUCGGCGGGGAAGAAAUUGCAUCGGAUAAUACCCGGUGUAGAUGACGGUACCCGCAUAAGAAGCACCGGCUAACUACGUGCCAGCCGCCGCCGUAA
rnacentral:rRNA from 1 species